AGAGUUUGAUCCUGGCUCAGAACGAACGCUGGCGGCAGGCUUAACACAUGCAAGUCGAACGCUCCGCAAGGAGAGUGGCAGACGGGUGAGUAACACGUGGGAACGUGCCCAAAGGUACGGAACAACUCCGGGAAACUGGAGCUAAUACCGUAUGUGUCCGUAAGGAGAAAGAUUUAUCGCCUUUGGAUCGGCCCGCGUCG
rnacentral:rRNA from 1 species